CCAAGGAACCAGCCAGGCAAAGGUCUAAGGGGAGAGAGUUCCGGGCAGAGGGCACAGCCAACGCAAAGACCCCGAGGCGAUUCUUGGCCCAUGCUUCGGGCUCUCAGAAGGUCGACAAACCAGCAUCGCCACCUGGAGGACAGCAUCAGAAUCUGGAUCUCUGCAGUGAACAGAUAUGUAAAGUUUACAGUAAAACCACAAAGCAUGCAUUCUAGGACAGUAUACGAUCUCCGUGUGAUUAUUACCAUAGAACACUCUAAGAACUAACCUUUAGUGAAGGAUAACUAUGGGCAUGACCCAUGAAUUGCCAGACU